ACCGCGAUAGCUCGGCUGGUAGAGCAUCUGCAUUGUAUACGGAGCGUUGCCGGUUCGAUUCCGGCUCGUGGCA
rnacentral:tRNA from 1 species